UAGUCAUAACAAUGAGUAGUAAACAUUGAUUAUUGUCUUAACUGUUUAUUUUUUUCUUUUUAGAAUCAAGUUAUUGAUUUAACAUUUAAUAAUGAGCAGGAGCCUAUGGAGGUGGAAAAUAAUGCUGCAUAUGGAAGCAGUAGUAGUAAACAAAAGAUGACAUAUCAUUAGAAAAAGAAAUAGAAGAAGCGAGUGAGAUAUAUCUCAAUGAACCGAUGGAAGUGGAUUUUGUGGACACGUUGUUGGACGAUCAAAAAGGUUAUUUUAAGAAGAAAAAAACAAGAAGUAGCGGGGAGAAAUGAGGAGAAAGAAGAAACUAUGUUAAAUAAAUGUUUAUCAAAUGAAAGGUGUUAUUAUUUUUUGUUUAAAGAAACUAUAUAUAGAUGAGACAACAAGGUAUUUUAUUUUUAAACAAACUA